rnacentral:sRNA from 1 species
ACUGUGAGCAGCACAGGAUUGAGGAGUUGGAAGAGACCUUUAGAACAGCUGGUCAUGCCGACUGGGUGCCUGCACUAAGUUCGGCAUCAAUAUGGUGACCUCCUGGGAGCCGGGGGCCACCAAGUUGCCUAAGGAUGACUGAACUGGCCCAGGUCAGAAAGGGAGCAGGUCAGAACUCCUGCACCGACCGAUAGUGGAACUGUGUCUGGGCGGUAUAGCCAGAUCUUGGUUCUU